rnacentral:rRNA from 1 species
GAGUUUGAUCAUGGCUCAGAUUGAACGCUGGCGGCAGGCCUAACACAUGCAAGUCGAACGGUAACAGGAAACAGCUUGCUGUUUCGCUGACGAGUGGCGGACGGGUGAGUAAUGUCUGGGAAACUGCCUGAUGGAGGGGGAUAACUACUGGAAACGGUAGCUAAUACCGCAUAACGUCGCAAGACCAAAGAGGGGGACCUUCGGGCCUCUUGCCAUCAGAUGUGCCCAGAUGGGAUUAGCUAGUAGGUGGGGUAACGGCUCACCUAGGCGACGAUCCCUAGCUGGUCUGAGAGGAUGACCAGCCACACUGGAACUGAGACACGGUCCAGACUCCUACGGGAGGCAGCAGUGGGGAAUAUUGCACAAUGGGCGCAAGCCUGAUGCAGCCAUGCCGCGUGUAUGAAGAAGGCCUUCGGGUUGUAAAGUACUUUCAGCGGGGAGGAAGGGAGUAAAGUAAAUACCUUUGCUCAUUGACGUUACCCGCAGAAGAAGCACCGGCUAACUCCGUGCCAGCAGCCGCGGUAAUACGGAGGGUGCAAGCGUUAAUCGGAAUUACUGGGCGUAAAGCGCACGCAGGCGGUUUGUUAAGUCAGAUGUGAAAUCCCCGGGCUCAACCUGGGAACUGCAUCUGAUACUGGCAAGCUUGAGUCUCGUAGAGGGGGGUAGAAUUCCAGGUGUAGCGGUGAAAUGCGUAGAGAUCUGGAGGAAUACCGGUGGCGAAGGCGGCCCCCUGGACGAAGACUGACGCUCAGGUGCGAAAGCGUGGGGAGCAAACAGGAUUAGAUACCCUGGUAGUCCACGCCGUAAACGAUGUCGACUUGGAGGUUGUGCCCUUGAGGCGUGGCUUCCGGAGCUAACGCGUUAAGUCGACCGCCUGGGGAGUACGGCCGCAAGGUUAAAACUCAAAUGAAUUGACGGGGGCCCGCACAAGCGGUGGAGCAUGUGGUUUAAUUCGAUGCAACGCGAAGAACCUUACCUGGUCUUGACAUCCACGGAAGUUUUCAGAGAUGAGAAUGUGCCUUCGGGAACCGUGAGACAGGUGCUGCAUGGCUGUCGUCAGCUCGUGUUGUGAAAUGUUGGGUUAAGUCCCGCAACGAGCGCAACCCUUAUCCUUUGUUGCCAGCGGUCCGGCCGGGAACUCAAAGGAGACUGCCAGUGAUAAACUGGAGGAAGGUGGGGAUGACGUCAAGUCAUCAUGGCCCUUACGACCAGGGCUACACACGUGCUACAAUGGCGCAUACAAAGAGAAGCGACCUCGCGAGAGCAAGCGGACCUCAUAAAGUGCGUCGUAGUCCGGAUUGGAGUCUGCAACUCGACUCCAUGAAGUCGGAAUCGCUAGUAAUCGUGGAUCAGAAUGCCACGGUGAAUACGUUCCCGGGCCUUGUACACACCGCCCGUCACACCAUGGGAGUGGGUUGCAAAAGAAGUAGGUAGCUUAACCUUCGGGAGGGCGCUUACCACUUUGUGAUUCAUGACUGGGGUGAAGUCGUAACAAGGUAACCGUAGGGGAUCCUGCGGUUG